UUUGAGGGUCGUGUCGCUGUUUGCUGAACACGCUGUCGGCCUGGCUUGUUCUUGGAGGCUUGUGUGUGGGUCGUCCCUGCGCCCCAAAAUUAAUCUGUUGGGUACGUGCGUUGCGUACUUCGAGAGCAUUUUUGAAAAGGGGAUUUGUGCUGUCCUUCCUUGCUCCUGCUUUGGUUCUAGUAGGGAUUUUUAUUUCGGCGCUAAAAUAAAGCUGCUUGUCUUGUUCCGCGGCCUUUGAUUCCGUCCUCUGACUGUAGGUCAAGAUGGCAAAGCAAAAGCGUAAGAAUUCAAAGGCGGCGGAAGAAGAGGAGGUGGAGGAGGAUGAUAAAGAAGAGAUGACAGGCUUGAACACAACCUGCUCUGAAAGCACUUUUGAAACUGAAAACCUAGAGGUGCUUGGGCGUGCUGGACAUCUGACCCCAGAGGGUGAAGGCAGCCGGUUCCUCCCGUCUGAAAAAAGUUUGGUGGAACUGGAUGGCUCCCAUACUGUGACCUGCACAUUCACAGUCUCGCUAGCUGUCCCUGCCCUGCCUACAGGACAAAAGCAGAAGAUCUCCAACCCCCUUGAUACACAAGGAAAGAGAAUUCAAGUGGAUGAAUCGGGAGCUAUUCCAAGAAUGAAACGUUGCUUUCACAUUGAGUACUUCCUUCUACCGGAUGACCUCGUACCUAGAAAACUGGAUUUGGUCUUCUUUGGGGUGGUUGCAAAGCUAUUUACAGGAUCUAAUUCCAAGGCUAUUACACCAUGGUUUGAAAAUGACAAGAUGUGGAUAUCAUGGAACCAUAGUGUUGAUAUCGGUGUCACUAAUGAAUAUCUAAUAAAACUAAGAGAUCACAGAAUAAUUUUAAAAAUCUGGGAUACCAAGGACAAAGUUUCUUCAAAAGCGAAGCUUAGUAAACCAAAUACUAUUUCUUCACUAGAAGGGGAUGCAGAGGCUGUUGGUGGGGUAAAACAUGCUGUGCUAUUGCAAAGAAAAUUCUUUGAAGAGAGUCGGCCAGCACACAGCUGUACAAAAAUCAAAGCAGCAAAGGAAUCCAAGGCACAGGAGGAGUCUUCAGCCUUUCCUGUUAAAGCAGAGGAAACUUAUCUGAAUGGACUAGCAACAUCUAAUUGUGGUUUGCCAUAUCCAUCAAGGACAGAUGACUUAUGUACAGUGAGAAGUGUGAUAUUUGCAAAAAACAGAUUUCUGGAUAAGGCCCAACUUCUGAAGCAGAAAGCAGUUGCUGGUCCUCCAGUUAAUUCAACUUCAAAAGAAACUGAGAAAACAAAUAAUAAUGUGGGAAAUGUGACAUAUGGAGCAGACGAAACAGCCACCACAAAUGGUAGAAGAGGUUCUGGUCCUAAAAGAAACAUUGAUACUACUAUGGCAGAGAAAUAUGGCAUUGCUUCACUGCAGUUAGAUGUCAUGCCUCUCCUCGCAGGAGAAAAGUCAGUGAUCAGUCGUCUGGCAGAAAAUAAUGCUAAAAUUUUAGAUGCUUACAUGACUUUCACUGUGGAAACACCUCUUCUGUCUGAAAGACAAAGACAUGAAUUAAAUCCACUGAUUAUAAGGAUUAAUUCAGCUACCUGCCUCCCAAACACACCUGUACCAAUAGAAGUGCUGCAGAGAUUGUGUGUUCCCACCUACUGCAAAUACAAAUUUCAUAACUUUCCACCUCAUCAAACUCAUGGACAAGUCCAUGGAACUCAUGUCUACUUUAAGGAUGUUAAUGUACUUCUGACAGGGACGAUGAAACCUGGGGAAUUACAGAGGUGUCUUAGAGGUCCACCUCUGGAGAUUGAAGUUCAUGACCGGGAUAGAAACAUGGAAAACAACACAAAAAAGCCCUGUUUGUUUGGGGAAGAUGAUGCAGAUGAAAAAGUGGGUAAGGUGAGCUUCCUUGCUUGCAAAUCCACAAUCUGUAAUUCUUUUACAAAGAACAAAGUGUGGCAUCCACAUGGGGUAGCUAAAGUCAGUCUAACUGAUUUAUUGUUGGGUAGAAAGUACUUGGCUAUCAGUGCUCCCAUUCGUAGCUGCUCAGCUCCAGAUACAGCUGCUUUCAGUGAGCAGGAUGAAAAAAAGAAGAGAACAGGAUCAGUGAGUAGUCCUUCCCUGCUACCUACGGGACAUUAUCUGGAAUCAGACUCACUUUUGAAAGUAAGAGUGGAAAUAGCUGUGCCGUUGGGAAUGCAUGCAGAAAUUGCUGAUGCUCAAGUCACAAAUUUCCCAUAUGGUUGUAUAAUCUACAUUUUUGACUACAAUAAUUCAUCUUUAUUACAUGAUUUGGUGGAAGAAAUUACAGAAAUCAAUGCUAAAGCCCUCCAGCUGGACUGCUAUCCUGUACACUUAAUCGGAAUGGCUCUUGCUGCAUUAAAACUGAAAACCACACUUGAGAAAUUUUCUGAGUUGGAUAUUGUUACUGGUUUUCACUUACUGGAUGGAGCAAGUCAUGUCCUUGUCUUGGAGGGAUUAAAAGACAAAGCAAUCAGGAGACUAUGGGAUAGACACCUUGAAAGAACUUACAGACGUGAAGAUGGACAACUGGAAAUACUGUAUAACUCACAACUGUCUUUCCAUCAGCGCCGGUAUACAGACCUGGAAGCUAUCUUUUAUCAUUUCCGCCUCUGUCAGCCCCUCUUCACGAUAAUGAAACAGCCUCUGCUUUAUGUCAGAGGUAUGGUUCCUUGGGCAUGUUUCCAAGCCUUGUCCAGGCUCAAUUACCUUUGUCACAGUAAGAGACUGAGGGAUGUAAUUCAUGGGGAUCUGCUGCCCUCAGCAGAGAUGAUCACAGUCUUGAGUCACGAGUAUGGAGUUCCCUUAACUGAUGAGGAUCUCUUCACUCAGAAACCUCCUUUACUCUCAUUUUCCUCUGAUGAUUGUACAGUACCAGGAAAAGUUAGCAGAGUGAAACAGGCAGUAUAUUCUUCAGUAGAUAACUACAAUGAAGUGUAUGCGCAGCGGAAGAAAGAAAUAGCAGACAAAAUGUCUUUUGAGAGAAACCAUACUGUGGCUAACAUCGGUGCUGUAUGCCAACUCAAAGGAAAGAUGAAAAAGCCAAAGUUUGAAGCUUUCAGGAUUUCUCCUGUUGAUGGCAAAUCCGUCUUUAACUACAGCUCUCAGAGCCUGAAUUCUGCAGAACUUGCAAAGAAGCAUCUUCGCCAGGAAAUGGCAAAGGAACCAAAGAACAGAUUCACUUAUUCUCAUGAGUAUUUGUCAGCCACGUUUGACCCAGUGGAUGUGGUUGCUGCCUGUAAGGAAUACUCUGCAAAAUCCAAGAGUAUGUGGCUGUCACCAGAUGGAUUUGUAUUUCCUGGAUUUAAGAGCAGUAUUGAAAGCAACCUGCACCCUCAGAUGCCUGAUGAGGCACGUCUGGAGGAGUUAAGUGAGAAAUGGCAGGAGAAUGCUCUGCAUGCUAACAUGGAGCCAGUGCUGUCACGAGACAGAUGGAGCUGGGACAAACGGCACAUUGAUUUUGAUCUUUACAAGAAGCCACCUGAGCUCUUCAUGACAACAGCCCCACAGACUGUCUGUUGUCAGCCUUGUGAAGAUGCUACUCGGAUUCUGCAAACUACGUUUGAUGAUACCAAGCUGAAAGCUCACCGGCGCUCCACAGCAGCUGAGUUAUCCACGUGUGGGCCAAGAGCCAGGUUUCAGCUACAGAAGCUCCAUGGACUUCUGCAAGGUGUACCUCCGAAAUUCUCACUCAGGAAGGCAGGACCAAUUCUGAAGCCUGUCCCAGCCCUGGACAACCAGUCCUGUGACACCGGGUCGGAUGCCCUCCCAGGAAGGAGGAAGGGUGUCACCAGUGGCUUUGUACCAGGCCCUGAUGACCAGCACAGCUUGAAGUGCAGCAAGACUGUUACCCCCCGGCACAACAGAGAGCGUAAGAAGUUUGAAAAACUCCGAGGCGCGCAUUUCAAGUAAGAUCACCUUAUUGCUAGAAAUAGCAAAAGAAGUCGGCCCACAUUAUUUUAUAUGGUGCGUGUCAAAGAGCUGCGGUAUACAGACAUUAUAACAAUAAAUUACUAGGUCAAUAAAUUAAAUUAUUAGGGUGUAUCCCCAAGCAACAAACCAAUUAAUUAGAUAUAGGACAACUUGGCAUUCUUGGGAGGUCUCCUUUUCAAGUCCAAACUCCAGAAUUAAGGAAUGAGGUUUGCCCUGGGUGUCGCUGUGCAUUACCUACGUUACGUGUUCACAGGUUGAGCUUUCCAUAGAGCUGUCAGAGACACUGACCCUUCAGCCAUAUUCCUGGCCUUACACUGGGAACGUAGGCUGCAGCAUUUCUCAUCUAAGCAGCAUAAAUCUAAGCUGUUGAAGAGCAAUUUUUACCUUUCCAGUUUAACUACUAGAUAUUUGAAGAAGUUUCAUGUUAUUUGAACUUUCUAAAUUAAACUAUAUCAGCUGGCAAAUUUUGCAUUAACAGGAAACUUGUAGUUACUGUCUCAAUUACAUAUGGAACAAUGUUAAAAGUGGUUUAAUUGGUAUUUUGUUCUUUAUUGUGGGAGAUGAGUUCUGGCCUUAUUUUGCUGUCAUGUCAUCAAAUCAUGCAAGAUACUGCUCUGCUUCAUUUAAUUAUUUAGUUCUUGCAGAAAUGUAAUCUUGUAUUUAAAUAAAAACCCACACUUAUUGGUUUUAAAAAACAAAACAAAGCAAAGGGGCCAGCGUAAGGCCCUUAAGACCAGGGUCAGGAACAGAACAUGGAGGAGUUCUGAUUAAAUACAAGGAAAAACAUUUAAAUGGGAGCUCAGAGACAGUGAAACCACCACCCAGCUGGUGCUGCUGUCCACAGUCCAGUGGACAUGAUGGCCUCCAGAGGUCCCUUCCAAACUGAACUGUUCUGAUUCUGCAAGUCUUUCAGUGCUUCUCUAAAGCUAUUGAGUGUCAGAGUUGGGAUGACCCCUUCCUUGGCUCAAAAUUGACUAGAAGACAUUUUUGGUACUAAACCCAGAAGGGGCUUACAUACACAAAAUAUGAAGACAAAGGUUAAUCAGUUUGGAUUUGUCUAACACUUAAUUGUAGCAAAUUUAGUUGUCCUGUAGCAUAACUGUUACCAUGAUACUUUAAAUGAGCUACUACACAACCACCUGCAUGUCA